rnacentral:rRNA from 1 species
UACGUAGGGACCAAGCGUUGUUCGGAUUUACUGGGCGUAAAGGGCGCGUAGGCGGCUUGACAAGUCACUUGUGAAAUCUCCGGGCUUAACUCGGAACGGCCAAGUGAAACUGUCAUGCUAGAGUGCAGAAGGGGCAAUCGGAAUUCUUGGUGUAGCGGUGAAAUGCGUAGAUAUCACUUGGAACGCCAACGGUGAAAACAGCUCGCUGGGGGUAUCCUGACGCUGAGACACGAAAGCCAGGGGAGCAAACGGG